AGGUGUGAGGCAAUCUGGCUGUGACAUCUGUCACUCCAUUGAUCACCAGGGUUGACUCAGGUAACCUGGCUGCCUAGGUGGGUGUCCCCUGCCUUCCUUGUCCCUGGUAGUGCACCCUCUAGAAGCUGUCAGCUCCUUGGAAGAGAACCACCUUCCUGGAAUAGAGACAGAGGCAUGUUUGACUGAGGGUAUGGGAAUUGCUAUGCUUCCCCUGUCAGAACCUAAAACAAGCUCUCAAGAUCUUAACCCUUCUGCAAAUUUGACCAAUAUUACUUAACAUGUGUUCCCAAAACUUU
ensembl:misc_RNA 7SK 7SK RNA